GGUGAGUAACACGUGGAUAACCUACCUAUAAGACUGGGAUAACUUCGGGAAACCGGAGCUAAUACCGGAUAAUAUUUUGAACCGCAUGGUUCAAAAGUGAAAGACGGUCUUGCUGUCACUUAUAGAUGGAUCCGCGCUGCAUUAGCUAGUUGGUAAGGUAACGGCUUACCAAGGCAACGAUGCAUAGCCGACCUGAGAGGGUGAUCGGCCACACUGGAGCUGAGACACGGUCCAG
rnacentral:rRNA from 1 species